rnacentral:rRNA from 1 species
UGGGGAAUAUUGCACAAUGGGCGCAAGCCUGAUGCAGCCAUGCCGCGUGUGUGAAGAAGGCCUUCGGGUUGUAAAGCACUUUCAGCGGGGAGGAAGGCGAUAAGGUUAAUAACCUUGUCGAUUGACGUUACCCGCAGAAGAAGCACCGGCUAACUCCGUGCCAGCAGCCGCGGUAAUACGGAGGGUGCAAGCGUUAAUCGGAAUUACUGGGCGUAAAGCGCACGCAGGCGGUCUGUCAGGUCGGAUGUGAAAUCCCCGGGCUCAACCCGGGAAUUGCAUCUGAUACUGGUCAGCUAGAGUCUUGUAGAGGGGGGUAGAAUUCCAUGUGUAGCGGUGAAAUGCGUAGAGAUGUGGAGGAAUACCGGUGGCGAAGGCGGCCCCCUGGACGAAGACUGACGCUCAGGUGCGAAAGCGUGGGGAGCAAACAGG